rnacentral:rRNA from 1 species
GAUAAACGUUGGCGGCGUGCCUAAUGCAUGCAAGUCGCACGAGAAACCCGACUUCGGUUGGGCGGACAGUGGCGGACGGGUGAGUAACACGUAGGAACCUGCCCAGAAGUGGGGGACAACUCCUCGAAAGAGGAGCUAAUACCGCAUACGGUCUUCGGACCAAAGCUUUCGAGCGCUUCUGGAGGGGCCUGCGGCGGAUUAGCUAGUUGGUGGGGUAACGGCCUACCAAGGCGACGAUCUGUAGCUGGUCUGAGAGGACGGUCAGCCACACUGGGACUGAGACACGGCCCAG